UACAGGGGGGGCAAGCGUUGUUCGGAAUUACUGGGCGUAAAGGGCUCGUAGGCGGCCAACUAAGUCACACGUGAAAUCCCCAGGCUUAACCUGGGAACUGCGUGUGAUACUGGAUGGCUUGAGUGUGGGAGAGGGAUGCGGAAUUCCAGGUGUAGCGGUGAAAUGCGUAGAUAUCUGGAGGAACACCGGUGGCGAAGGCGGCAUCCUGGACCAUUACUGACACUGAAAAGCGAAAGCCAGGGGAGCAAACAGG
rnacentral:rRNA from 1 species